rnacentral:rRNA from 1 species
AGGAUAAACGCUGGCGGCGUGCCUAACACAUGCAAGUCGAACGUCUCUUCUUUCGGGAAGAGGAGUGGCGGACGGGUGAGGAACACGUGGGAACCUGCCCUUUAGUGAGGAAUACCGGCGAGAAAUCGCCGACAAGACCGCAUAGCCCUCUUUGAUGAGAGUCAAAGAAGGAAAGCUUCGCAAGAGGCGCUAGAGGAGGGGCCUGCGUCCGAUUAGCUAGUUGGUGGGGUAAGAGCCUACCAAGGCGUCGAUCGGUAGCUGGUCUGAGAGGACGAUCAGCCACACUGGGAUUGAGAACGGCCCAGACUCCUACGGGGGGCAGCAGUGAGGAAUUUUCGGCAAUGGGGGAAACCCUGACCGAGCAACGCCGCGUGCAGGAAGACGGCCUUCGGUUGUAAACUGCUUUUCUUGGGACGAGGAAGGACGGUACCAGAGGAAUCGAGCCCCGGCUCACUACGUGCCAGCAGCCGC